rnacentral:rRNA from 1 species
UGCCAGCAGCCGCGGUAAUACGGAGGGGGUUAGCGUUGUUCGGAAUUACUGGGCGUAAAGCGCACGUAGGCGGAUUAGAAAGUAGGGGUGAAAUCCCAGGGCUCAACCCUGGAACUGCCUCUAAAACUCCCAGUCUUGAGUUCGAGAGAGGUGAGUGGAAUUCCGAGUGUAGAGGUGGAAUUCGUAGAUAUUCGGAGGAACACCAGUGGCGAAGGCGGCUCACUGGCUCGAUACUGACGCUGAGGUACGAAAGUGUGGGGAGCAAACAGGAUUAGAUA